UUUACUUGUUCUUAAAGAACACGAAAAGACAUGUUUCUAAUAAAAUCAAUUUUGGUGAAUUUUCUAUUGGCGGUUGUGGUUUGGAGUUCUGUUGUUUAUGUAACUUCUGCAGAUCAAGUUGAUAUGCCGUCUUUUCCCAAUUAAUUCUUACGAAGAGAAUCAUAUUUACUUUUUUAAAUUCAUGUAUAAGUUAAAAUAUGUAUGUUGAAUAAAGAAACCAAUUAGCA